GUGGGGAAUUUUGGACAAUGGGGGCAACCCUGAUCCAGCAAUGCCGCGUGCGGGAAGAAGGCCUUCGGGUUGUAAACCGCUUUUGUCAGGGACGAAAAGGUGCUUGUGAAUAAUGAGCGCUGCUGACGGUACCUGAAGAAUAAGCACCGGCUAACUACGUGCCAGCAGCCGCGGUAAUACGUAGGGUGCAAGCGUUAAUCGGAAUUACUGGGCGUAAAGCGUGCGCAGGCGGUUGGGUAAGACAGAUGUGAAAUCCCCGGGCUUAACCUGGGAACUGCAUUUGUGACUGCUCGACUGGAGUAUGUCAGAGGGGGGUGGAAUUCCAAGUGUAGCAGUGAAAUGCGUAGAUAUUUGGAAGAACACCGAUGGCGAAGGCAGCCCCCUGGGGCAAAACUGACGCUCAUGCACGAAAGCGUGGGGAGCAAACAGGAUUAGAAACCCUAGUAGUCC
rnacentral:rRNA from 1 species